GACGUAGGGCGCGAGCGUUGUCCGGAUUUAUUGGGCGUAAAGAGCUCGUAGGCGGUUUGUCACGUCUGCUGUGAAAUCCCGAGGCUCAACCUCGGGCCUGCAGUGGGUACGGGCAGACUGGAGUGCGGUAGGGGGAGAAUGGAAUUCCUGGUGUAGCGGUGGAAUGCGCAGAUAUCAGGAGGAACACCGAUGGCGAAGGCAGUUCUCUGGGCCGUAACUGACGCUGAGGAGCGAAAGCGUGGGGAGCGAACAGG
rnacentral:rRNA from 1 species